GCUGGCGGCAUGCCUAACACAUGCAAGUCGAACGAAGGCUUCGGCCUUAGUGGCGCACGGGUGCGUAACGCGUGGGAAUCUGCCCUCAGGUACGGAAUAACUCAGGGAAACUUGAGCUAAUACCGUAUAAUGACUUCGGUCCAAAGAUUUAUCGCCUGAGGAUGAGCCCGCGUCGGAUUAGCUAGUUGGUGAGGUAAAGGCUCACCAAGGCGACGAUCCGUAGCUGGUCUGAGAGGAUGAUCAGCCACACUGGGACUGAGACACGGCCCAGACUCCUACGGGAGGCAGCAGUGGGGAAUAUUGGACAAUGGGCGCAAGCCUGAUCCAGCAAUGCCGCGUGAGUGAUGAAGGCCUUAGGGUUGUAAAGCUCUUUUACCCGGGAUGAUAAUGACAGUACCGGGAGAAUAAGCCCCGGCUAACUCCGUGCCAGCAGCCGCGGUAAUACGGAGGGGGCUAGCGUUGUUCGGAAUUACUGGGCGUAAAGCGCACGU
rnacentral:rRNA from 1 species